UUCUAGGGUUUCUGGUGGUUUAACCUGAAGUUUUACUGCCAUCCGGUGGCUCGAUUCUCACUAAGUGGACGUUUUGGGUGCCUCUCCGACAUUCCUGACUACGUUUUCUGUAAGGUUUUUCAAGGUUACACGUAGGGUUUGAUACCUAGGGUUUCUCUGUUGUUUGAAGGUCGAUCUUCUCCGAUUGCGAAGAAGGAGGGUAACUCUGUCCUUAUCUUCGGUAUCAUAUGUGAUUAUUUGACUCUGUAUUUGUGAGCAUCUGGUGUUGUCUGUGAAUACCUGACUUGGAUAUAUUCUGUUUGUUGGUUGUUG
rnacentral:lncRNA from 1 species